CCUACGGGUGGCAGCAGUAGGGAAUAUUGCUCAAUGGGGGAAACCCUGAAGCAGCAACGCCGCGUGGAGGAUGAAGGUUUUCGGAUUGUAAACUCCUUUUGUUAGAGAAGAUAAUGACGGUAUCUAACGAAUAAGCACCGGCUAACUCCGUGCCAGCAGCCGCGGUAAUACGGAGGGUGCAAGCGUUAUUCGGAAUCACUGGGCGUAAAGAGCGCGUAGGCGGGAGAGCAAGUCAGAUGUGAAAUCCUAUGGCUUAACCAUAGGACUGCAUUUGAAACUGUUAUUCUAGAGUAUGGGAGAGGUAGGUGGAAUUCUUGGUGUAGGGGUAAAAUGCGUAGAGAUCAAGAGGAAUACUCAUUGCGAAGGCGACCUGCUAGAACAUAACUGACGCUGAUGCGCGAAAGCGUGGGGAGCAAACAGGAUUAGAUACCCGAGUAGUC
rnacentral:rRNA from 1 species